rnacentral:rRNA from 1 species
GAUGAACGCUGGCGGCGUGCCUAAUACAUGCAAGUCGAACGCUUCACUUCGGUGAAGAGUGGCGAACGGGUGAGUAAUACAUAAGUAACCUGGCAUCUACAGGGGGAUAACUGAUGGAAACGUCAGCUAAGACCGCAUAGGUGUAGAGAUCGCAUGAACUCUAUAUUAAAAGUGCUACGGGACUGGUAGAUGAUGGACUUAUGGCGCAUUAGCUUGUUGGUAGGGUAACGGCCUACCAAGGCGACGAUGCGUAGCCGACCUGAGAGGGUGACCGGCCACACUGGGACUGAGACACGGCCCAGACUCCUACGGGAGGCAGCAGUAGGGAAUUUUCGGCAAUGGGGGAAACCCUGACCGAGCAACGCCGCGUGAAGGAAGAAGUAAUUCGUUAUGUAAACUUCUGUCAUAGAGGAAGAACGGUGGAUAUAGGGAAUGAUAUCCAAGUGACGGUACUCUAUAAGAAAGCCACGGCUAACUACGUG